rnacentral:lncRNA from 1 species
GGCACAAAGCGGGGCAGAUGGUGUAUCACUCGGCAUUCCACCUUUACUUACUACACAGAGAAAAUCAGAUGAUGAAUCACUCGGCAUUCCAGCUUUACCUACUACACAGAGAAAAUCAGAUGAUGAAUCACUCGGCAUUCCAGCUUUACCUACUACACAGAGAAAAUCAGAUGGUGGAUCACUUGGCAUUCCAGCUUUACCUAUUACACAGAGAAAACAAGAGGUUCAAGCCAGGCAAACAACCAGUGGAUCAUCAAGCUCGGAUGAUGAUGACCUUGAAGGAGACACAGGAACCAAUGAAAAUAUGGAUCCUGCUGUUGUGAAACGUGCGAGGAGGUAUCUUAUUUAUUAACAUUCAUGCUUGGUGUAAGGGGUUCUAAAUACAAUUUAGAAACUUUGUUUUCUUUACUCAUACGCCUCCCAUUUUUCCUCUUAUUUUGAAUUUAUACAGGUAAUAUUAUUUUGAGGAAUUCACAUGUUAGUGCUCGUCUUAUUGGUGAAUAAAUCAAGCAUUGUUUUAGGAUGGGAGAAGAGUAUUUGUCAAUGGUUUCUAAUUAAAUCGGAUACAGCCUUACUAAACCUGACUUAACUGUCUCCAAGUUUUGGGAUAAACAGAUUCUUACUAGAUGCAAGUAUAUAUCUUAUUAUUGUGUUAAAAAGGAAGGACC